UCCCAUGUUAGAGCUCGAGAAAAGGGACUGCAAGCUCUCGAGGAAGCUCUCGACGCCAUGAUAGAUCUUGUGCUUGGACCUGAUCCUGCCUUGCCUCAGGUGACCCUCCAUUUCCCGAGCGAAGUCCCCUAACCUCGCCAGGUGCGAUGGGGAGCCCACCAUGAAUCCUUCCAUCCUCACCCCCUUCCCCACCAUGUUCAGCAGGUUCCUGACCCCUUCCCUCUCUGUCCACACCUGCUUGCAUUGGGUUCAAACAAAAGCUGAUUAACAAGGAUUUUAGAUAAACGAUCGAUCAUGAAUUGUUGAUGAGUUAAUUAAAUGGUGUUUGGGUUUCAAGAAAUCUCUUCUGGAGAGAGAAAAAGGCUCCGCAGAUGAUUGGACCGACACAGUUCUUUCCCACUCAACAGACAGAGCUGAACCUAACCCCAUCAUGGACAGUUAAACCAUUGCUAUUAUCAUGUCGGUCAGCUGCUUUACUGGUUCCUCUCUCACGUUCUAGCUUCAGCAAAGAAUCACCGGAAGUCUUGAGUGUAUUCCGGUCGCUGGAAUCAAGUUAUCCAUGUUUUGAAAGCAGAGAUGUGUCGAGACAGCUCGUCAAUCGGCUCGCUUACAUCAAAUUUAAACACGGAUGCGUGGUUAUAAUCUUGUAGAUGCUGAAUCCUUCUUAGGAGCGAAACGCUGUUGUAUAACAAGACCUAGCGAUUGGAAUAUACCUUGUUGUACUCGGAAAUCAUGCCGCAGAGCGAGAUCCGGGCACCUUCAUUGACGUGGUUCAACACAGCUUCAAGCAUCUUACCGCCAACGUUGUCAAGGUACAUGUCUAUGCCGUCGGGGAAGUAUCUGCCACAUUUGAAAUUCGAGUAAUUAGCAUACACAUGUACAAUUGUACUGAUGAAAAAUGAGAUUAAUGAGCGAGAACAGGGUUUUAUUUUCAAUUACUUGCUUAAAGCAGCGUCAAGAUCGGUUUCUUUCUUGUAAUUGAAUGCUUCAUCGUAACCAAAUUCCUCCUUCACCAGGAUUACCUAUAAAAAUUACAUUAUUAAUAAGGAUAAUAAAGAUAUACUAUACCACCAGCCGACUAAUUUUAGUUAUGCUUUGGUGCCUUGGAAAUUAAAAAUAGAAGACAUUUAGCUAGCCAGCUCACCUACAAUAUUCAAUUUUUUUUUAAUUUAUCAACAUUACGUGUCAUAAUUAACAAGUCCUUACAUUUAGCAACUCUCUUUUAGAUAUUAUUAACCUAAACUAAUGUGACUUUCUAACUUUCCCACCCAUUUAAUUACGCAUAAUAUUAGACCACUAACUAUUACUUGAGUUAUUACUUAACUGUGCCUCAAAUUUAUCAAUUCGUAAACGAAAUUACUAACUUUAAUUCAAGUGAUUUAUUGACUUUUCUCCGAUUAAAUUAUUGACUAGUUUUGAGUUAUCAAUCCUCAUUUGAGUUAGUUGGCAACAUUUAUUUAUUUCUUUUUUAAUUUACCGAUAUUUGUAAAUAUUUGAUAUUUUAAUAAGGAAAAAAGUUGAUAAUUCAUUCAAAUAAAGAUCGAGAAAUUCAUGUAAGAGUUGGCAUAAUGGACUCUCAUAGGUAAAAGUAUAAAAGCAUGAACUCCUAUCAAUUGGUGAAAAUAUAGGUAAAUCACCAACAAGUUACUUGAAAAUCAAGUAGUUGGUAAAAUUUUUCUACCACCGAGUUUUUCUAUAUUUCACCAACUCUUUUGGAAAUCUAUAGACUCUUAAAGCUCUAGGCAAAGGGUGUCGCCUAGAGUCGACGAGGGCCAUGAUGCCCUUGCCCAAAGUUGGCACGGUCUAGAUCUAAAGGCUAAAAAAAAAAGGAGAAGGAGAAGAAGAAAUCAUACAAAAUUCAAAAUAUUAUUAAAAAAGUGUCACAUCAGCACCGGCCAUCCACGUCAGUAAUUUUCAAUUAAAAUUGGUCGAAUGGACUCAAUUAGUAAAAAGUGAAAAUAUUUAAAACUGAAUUGAUAAAAGUAUGAUAGAUUUAGGACUUUUUGGACAAUUUUCCCGUUUUCAUUACAUAAAGCACAUGAAUCGUGCAGCUAAUUUAGUUCUUAUACUAGCAUUAAUAGGAGUUACAAGCAAACAUUACCUUUUCAUCAGAUCCGGUGCUCCCCACGACCCUACACCCUCUGAGCUUGGCCAGCUGCCCCGCGUACAUCCCCACGCCGCCUGCCGCGGCAGAGAUGAACACAUUCGACCCCGCCUUCGGCUCUCCCAGCACCUCUAUCCCCACCCACGCCGCGAAUCCAGGCACUCCUGUGAAAAUAUGAAAGAGUUUUCCAUCAUGUAAUUAUCCUCCUAUCCUCUUGUUCAUCAUUGUGAACGAAACGUGAGAGCAUAUAAACCUAAGCAACUGAGAUAAUCCGGCAACGGAAUGUCUCCAUUAGGCUCGAUCUUUUUUAUAAUGAAGUCGGAAGGCACUACGCAGUACUCCGCGACCGGUAAGAACGGGCCGGUCACAAUCUCUCCCUUGGCAUACUUAUCGUCCGUCGACUCCACCACCCUUCCAAUCCCAAAACUGGUCACCACCUGCACUUCCCAAAGACACGAGCGCAUAUUUUCACAGAUGAUCUGGUUAUUCAACCUGCCCUUUGGUCAUUUUGUGCGUUUAACUCUAAUGAAUCAACUUAUAGAAGACCUGGUUGAGAUCGAGUUGCGGGGAGUACAGCCCGUCCUCGCGGCCGGUCAUCCGGGAGCGCACGAAGGGCUCGACGGAGAGGAAGAGCAUCUCGAGGGCGACAUGGCGGUCAGGGAUGGAGCCGGCGUCGACUGGGAUCGUUGACGAACGCAACUUCAGAUUAUCAGAAGUCGGGAUCCCUUCCGGUGCGUAGGCUACUAUGUGCCACUCUUUGCUUUCCAUGGUGGUCAUCUUCGCCGUGUUGAUUUCCUCCGAACCACCGCUCGGAUGGAGCUUUUCUCCUUCCUCUCGCUCUUACCAGGGAGCUGUCGCGUCAGGGUAGUUGGAAGUGAGACAAAGCUAGGCCCCCCCUACCUCUACCUCUCUCUCUCUCUCUCUCUCUCUCUCUCUCUAACGUGCACGCACUCUGUGUGGCUUGAAUUCGAUGGAGUAGUCGAUUACCAAACUCAUGAUGCAAACAGCACCACGAAGAGAAGAAAGUGGCAGUACUAGACAAGAACAGAUCAACUACUAUCAUGAUUAUUGUGGACCACUUGUUUCAGGAUCCAGGAACUUUUCUGUACCCUUGAUGAUUCAACCCCCGUGCAGCGACAGCUUACGGGACCGCACCCCAAUGCAAUCAUCAUGGACAUGAAAAACGCGAAGCUUAUCCCUCAUUUUUUGCCGUCCUUACUCAUUGGGAAUGUUAGAGAAUUCGAGAGCAAAAGACCGAUCAGUCGAAUUACGAGAAAUCCAUUGUAAGUGCAAAUGAAGAUGAGGUUCUCGGAAGAGACGUCAUUUGAAUGGGAGGGAAGUUAAUCCUCGAAGAAGCUCUUUUUCUUACGUUUGAACAAGAAAAGGUUAUUGUUCUUUUCUUACCCAUGGACGGUAAGCGCAUUUGACGCGCACGUCCAUGUCACCAUGUACCGGACUUGACCUAUACGAACUCAUGCGACAAAGGCGGAGUCUUCAACCCAUUCUGUCCUUUUCCUCCUUUACGGUGGAACCCAAAAUCAGACCCCGUGACGACCGAUAUAGACUCAGCUACAUGCAUGAUCAGACAUCAACCCCCCUUGAGACCAGCAAUUCCAUGGCAUGGACCCUACUUCAUUCUAGAUGAUGGAGAGUGUGUUGUUAUCUGCGAAUUACGCCAUUAUACACGGUCUCUUACUUCCCGGUGAAUUUGGCAUAAACAGGCGAUCAACGACUUGGAUAUAUGCAUUUUCUAUUUUCAAGAGCAAGGUGGAGCCGGGGACACGAUAAUGUACAAUGCUCUGUCACGCAAUAAAAGCAGAGGAGUAAGGUUCGAGCUUUCCUAACUCGUUUGCCUUUCCACACCUUGCUUAUGUUUCGAGAUCCAGAAUGGGAAAAACAUCCACCACAUAGAAUGCACACUCUAGCCCAAACAGUAGCACGAGUCGAGACUGACACUAAACACAGGAGUAAUUCCAGGGUUACAGUAACUAGCUUACCAAAAUCAGCUUUCUCAAGGGUAUGGCAAACGUCUAAUGCUAAUUUAUUUAAACAACUAAUUCAGAGUUUGCCUUGUCAUUUUAUGAAAUCCGUCUGUUCUAGUAUGCUUUCACUAUUCAAAUGCAUCUCAACCAAACCCCUACAUAUUUAGGAGGAGAGAGAAAGAGAGACAAAAUUAUCCAAGUCUUAUAGAUGCCAUUGACCAGAAUGUAAAAUUAAAGAGGCAUCAAGUAAAAGAGCUAGAUAUCAAGGAUAAGGGGAUGCAAAGAAUUUACAUUUGAAGCUGGCACUGCUUCCCAUACAUAUACAAUGCAAAGCUUUUCAUCAAAGGUUUUAACUAAGUCAUGCUUCAAAGGGAACCGAAAGUAUUCUCGCCGCUGUAGGUCAUGUAGAGAAAGCCAUCUUCAUCCUGUUUUCCUCAUAAAUUGCAGACAUCAUAGCAGCUGCAACAGCACAGAAACAUCGCAAAUCAGUAAAGUUAAUAGUCCAUGACUAACUGUAGGACCUAAUGAAAGACAUUUUCUCAAAGACGAAAAUAGCUUUAUCUGCACUUAGCUUGAUCCUCUUUCGAACGACAUACACAAACUGGCCAACACUAAGGUUAGCAAAAACUAGACACUUGCAUUUGUAGGGUAGAUUCUAGAUUCCAAAAAUUGGGAAACAUGUUUUGACAAAUAGGUUCUCGAUUCUAGAUAAAUGGAACGUGGAACCUGGAACCUGAAACUUGGAAACUGAAAUAAUUUUUUUAUGUUUUUUUUGUUUAUAUCUUUGCGCGAUCCUGCAAUAUUUCAUGGCAUCCAAUGAUGAACGUAUAAUCUGGAAUCACUAAUCCAAGCUUCCAUUUUAUCACUGAGACUUUUAAUUUCUUAAUAUUUCAUAUUAUUCGUGUGUCUAAAUAUAAGUUAUGAUUAGUGGAUUGUAGCAAUGGGUGAUGAUCAUUAAAGGUAAUGAUUUACUACAAAUUUUCAAUUAAUAAUACAAGUGGAACUUGGGUUCCAAGGAUUAUAUAGUAGAUUUUAGAUUCCAAAAAAUGAGGAAUCUGUUUCAACGGUUAUAAAAACCUAGAAUCGCUCACCCUUACCUCAGGGAGGCUACUGGCCAACCCAUGCCUCCCACUAGGCAAGGGCUGCAAUACCCUCCCCGCUUGUGGGCAAGGCCCAAUGGCCAAUGAGAGUCCUCAGUCCUGGUAGAAAAAAAGAAAAGAAAAUAAUAUUAUUAACAAAAUUCAAUUAAAAACUAUAAAAAAAAUUGUUUAUGUUAAUACUAGUCAUCCUACAUGAUAUUACCAGCAUCCACGUUAGCAAUUUCCAAUUAAAGUUGAUCAAUUGGGUUCAAUUGGCAAAAUAUGAAAUGGCUUGUGACUCAAUUGACAAAAUUAAAAGGUUUAAGACUUUUUGAACAAUUUUCCUAGUAAGAAACACACCAAGUAAUCACAUGUUUCACAAAAAUGAAGCAACAUUGAAUUAAACUAAAAGACACAAGAAAAGAUGGAGAAGCAUUAAUGACAAAGUUAUACGAAUAAACGGGGAAAUAAAGAUCAUUAUAUAGGGCAUUUCUUCCCCAAAUUUACCGCAACGGGUCAAUCGAUGAAAUGGGACGGGUAAGGUUCCGACAAAAAUGACUUUAUGAUUGAUAUCCAGUUAGUGACGCAUAUGCACUCAAUGACAAGUAUAUUUGAUAACGUGGCAUUAAAAGCACGAAAAUAUCAUGAAUAAUUUGUCGUUGUUCCUGACAUCUCCUAACAAUAAAGAAAAAUAUGUCGAUUCUAUAGCCAAAAAAUACUUCAACCAUCAUGGCUCUCAAGCCCCCGAGUCGAAUGUUCACCAUAAUUUAAAGGGACUUGUCAUUAUGGUACAUGCUCAUCCCUAGUUGCAUAAGAUCUCUUUUGCUUUCUAAUUCAAUCACAUACAUGCACUUAGGCAACUGAAUAACACUCGUUAUUACUUUUUUUUUUUUGGUCGGUCGUUACUUUGGACUAACUAUCUUAGGGAAAAACCGAAACGUGGAGUACCCAAAAUGCCCCUCGUGAUGCGUAGGGGAUGCGUGGAGCGUACACCUCAAAGGUGAAGGAGAAAAAAACCAAUGGAACGACCCACGUCGCAUGCAAGCCAGAGCGACGUCCCAACUCUCCCCCUGAAAUCCCUCUCUCUGUCUCUCGAAACACCUUGCUUACAAUGAAGAAGAAGAAGAAGAAGAAGACAAGCACCGUAUAGCGGAGUGUGAAAAGAAAUUUCAGCAAGUGUAUUCAUCUCCUUCCUUAAGAGCUUAAGAGUGUUAUUAGAGCUGUGCGACUUUGAUAUACAAUAAUGAACGGCGGCGUCGGCGGCGGCGGCGGCGGCGGCAGAGGCGGUAGGGGAGGAGGAGGGGAGGAGCGGCCGAAGAAGAUACUCAAGAAGGGGAUGUGGAGUCGGCAGGAGGACGAGAUGCUGACGAAGUAUGUGAGGAGGAACGGGGGAGGGAACUGGAACGCGGUGCAGAGGCACACCCCGCUGCUACGGUGCGGCAAGAGCUACCGGCUGAGGUGGGCGAACCACCUGAGGAAGGGCGCCUUCUCAUCGGAGAAGGAGAGCCUCGUCGCCCGGCUCCACGCCAAGCAUGGCAACAAGUGAGCCCACAUGGCCUCCCAGGUCAAGGCUCCUCCUCCUCCUCCUCCUCGCAAGCCCUUUCACGGGUGUCGCGAUUCAAGGCACGUUGCGCGAUUUCGCGGCGGAUUUGGUCAGAAUGGUGUUCUUUAGAGUGUAUCGAUCUCAACGAGAACGUGCAUGCAAUCGCUUCUUGUUUAUCAUCUUUCUUGAGGUGGCCUUUCUCUUCUUUCCUUCUUUUCUUCCCCCUCAUCUUUUCUUUAGCCUUGCCAGGUUGAGGAGGCUUUCCUUUUUUAAUUUUAUGCUUUCUAUUGAUUAGGUUUAUAACUAUUUCAUGCCCCCUCCUGUUCUUAACUUGUGUUUGUUUCGGGAAAGAUUGACGAUUUGAAAAAUAUAUAUUUUCAAAUUCAAUUCCUUGUAUUAUUUACAAAAAUUCGACUCAACAAACAAUAUUUCCAUCAUCAAAAGAGUGUAUUUUUCGAUUGCCUAACUUUUCUGAAUCUUCAUUUUCUUUGAUAUAAGUGAUGAUGAGGAACUGGUUCUGGGGUGUCCCCAUUUGCCUUCGAUUUUUCUCGCUAGAUCAGAGAGGCUGUCCUUUUUAAUUUUAUGUUUUCUAUCUAUUCGCUUCAUAACUAUUGACGCCACACCUCUCAAUUCUCAACAUGCCUUUUUGUUUCGAGAAAAAUCGACGAUUUAAAAUAUGUAUUCUUAAUUUGAUUGUUUAUAUCGCUUGCAAUAAUAGACUAAUGAAAAUUAUUUCUACCAUUAAAAGAAAAUGCCUAGACAAAUAUUAUCUUUUCGAUGAUUAAUUUUUAUGAGCUACAUAAAUAAUUAUUUUUUAGAAAAUAUUUUCUAAAUUAUGAUGAGGAAUUGAUUUUUUGAGGUGUCCCCAUUUUCGUUUAGUCUCCUCACUAGCUUCGCCUUAACAAUGCAAGCCAAAACCCUAGCUCUGAAAGAAGAAGAUGAGAAGAAGGGGGAGAGUUUGGGCGGCGAUCUGCCAAGGCAGCUGCUUCCUCCUCAUUCAGUAAGUACUACAUAUAUUGCAUGUUUGAUAUUUCUCUUUCAUUCUCAUUGGAAAUGCGGUAUGAAUCUCUCUCAUUAAGCAAUAGGUGCGGAACCAACUGAGGAGCUGAUGGACGAGAUCGAUAUCGAUGAUGAAUGGUCUAGUCUCCUCGCUAGCUUCGCCUCAACAACGCAAGCCAAAACCCUAGCUCUAAAGGAGGAGGAGGAGAAGAGUGAGAGUUUGGGUGGCGAUAGUGCUGAGACGGCGCUUUCUCAUCAUUAAGUGAGUAUUGCACAUUGCAUGCUUGGUAUUUCUCUUUCAUUCUCAUUGAAAUGUGGUUUGAAUCUCUCUCAUUAAGUAAUAGGUGUGGAGCCAACUGAAGAGCCGAUGGACGAGAUCGAGUGCAUGGCUGACGAAUUGUCUGGUCUCCUCGCUAGCUUCCCUUCAACAAUGCCAUAUCCAAACUGGUGAUGCCAAGGAGUGGCUCCAUGUUGAUGGACAACUACCACCCAUCCGUGGCAUGUAGGGCGGCCGCCAUCGUAGAAAUCCUCUCUCUCGGUGCAUGAGAGCUAUCAGCUCGGACCUAAGAAGCUAUAAUAAAUAAAACAACAUUCUAGUAUACAUAUGCAAGAUCACUUGAUAUAGACCAAUCCUUUUGUAGCUUAUUGGAAAGGACUUUGUUCAGCCCUACUCUACUAGACAAAUUGAGCGUUAAUACUAUUGAAAUUUCUGUAUUAUUAAUGUUGUUAUUCCGGGUCAGCCAAGCUUUCUUGAUUCUAUAAUUCAAGUUUGUGUUGAAGAACUCAUGUUGGCGUCUGGCCAAGAAAUUGAAUAAAAGGAUAUCUAGUGUGUAAACACUUUGUAUGAUGAUUAUCUUGUAAGUUUUAAAGCAAUAACCCCUUUUUUUACUAAGGUAGACUUGCAUACUUAAUUGGGAGGUUCGGUCCAAAUACAGCGAAAUUAUGAAUAAGAUGAGUCGGUCUCGAAUAUAAGAAAACACCGAGCUCAUCUGUUCAAUCUUGCGAUAUACAUCACAAGGGCUUGACUUGAAGGAUGACCUUGCCCAUGUUAGAGCUCGAGAAAACGGACUGCAAGCUCACCAAGAAGCUCUCGACACCAUAAUAGAUCUUGUGCUUGGACCUGAUCCUGCCUUGCCUCAGGUGACCCUCCAUCUGCUGAGCGAAGUCCCCGAACCUCGCCAGGUGCGAUGGCGAGCCCACCAUGAAUCCUUCCAUCCUCACGCCCUUCCCCACCAUGUUCAGGAGGUUCCUGACCCCUUCCCUCUCUGUCCACACCUGCUUGCAUUGGGUUCAAACGAAGGCUGAUUAACAAGGAUUUUAGAUAAACGAUCGGCCAUGAAUUAUUGAUGAAUUUUUAAAUGGUUUUUUGGUUUCAAGAAAUCUCUUCUAGAGAGUGGAAAAGGCUCCGCAGAUGAUUGGACCGACACAGCUCUUUCCCACUCAGCAGACAAAUAGCUGCACCUAACCCCAUCAUGGACAGUUAAACCAUUGCUAUUAUCAUGUCGGUGAGCUGCUUUACUGGUUCCUCUCUCACGUUCUAGCUUCAACAAAGAAUCACCGGAAGUCUGAGUGUAUUCCGGUCCCCAGAAUCAAGUUAUCCGUGUUUUGACAGCCGAGAUGUGGCUAGAUGGCUCAUCGAUCGGCUCGUUUACAUCAAAUUUAAACAUGGAUGCGGGGUUAUAGUUUUGUAGAUUCUGACUUGUUCUUAGGGAUGCGACGCUGCUGAAUGAUGAGACAUAG
rnacentral:lncRNA from 1 species